CAGCCGCCGCGGUAAUACGUAGGUGGCAAGCGUUGUCCGGAAUUAUUGGGCGUAAAGGGCUCGCAGGCGGUUUCUUAAGUCUGAUGUGAAAGCCCCCGGCUCAACCGGGGAGGGUCAUUGGAAACUGGGAAACUUGAGUGCAGAAGAGGAGAGUGGAAUUACACGUGUAGCGGUGAAAUGCGUAGAGAUGUGGAGGAACACCAGUGGCGAAGGCGACUCUCUGGUCUGUAACUGACGCUGAGGAGCGAAAGCGUGGGGAGCGAACAGGAUUAGAUACCCCAGUAGUCCCUGUCUCUUAUAC
rnacentral:rRNA from 1 species